rnacentral:rRNA from 1 species
UUGAGGGAUGACGGCCUUUCGGGUUGUAAACCUUCUUUCAGCAGGGAAGAAGCGAAAGUGACGGUACCUGCAGAAGAAGCGCCGGCUAACUACGUGCCAGCAGCCGCGGUAAUACGUAGGGCGCGAGCGUUGUCCGGAAUUAUUGGGCGUAAAGAGCUUGUAGGCGGUUUGUCGCGUCUGCUGUGAAAGCCCGGGGCUUAACUCCGGGUUUGCAGUGGGUACGGGCUAACUAGAGUGCAGUAGGGGAGACUGGAAUUCCUGGUGUAGCGGUGAAAUGCGCAGAUAUCAGGAGGAACACCGAUGGCGAAGGCAGGUCUCUGGGCUGUAACUGACGCUGAGAAGCGAAAGCAUGGGGAGCGAACAGGAUUAGAUACCCUGGUAGUCCAUGCCGUAAACGUUGGGCACUAGGUGUGGGGGGCAUUCCACGUUUUCCGCGCCGUAGCUAACGCAUUAAGUGCCCCGCCUGGGGAGUACGGCCGCAAGGCUAAAACUCAAAGAAAUUGACGGGGGCCCGCACAAGCGGCGGAGCAUGCGGAUUAAUUCGAUGCAACGCGAAGAACCUUACCAAGGCUUGACAUGUACCGGACCGCUCUAGAGAUAGAGUUUCCCUUCGGGGCUGGUUCACAGGUGGUGCAUGGUUGUCGUCAGCUCGUGUCGUGAGAUGUUGGGUUAAGUCCCGCAACGAGCGCAACCCUCGUUCUAUGUUGCCAGCACGUGAUGGUGGGGACUCAUAGGAGACUGCCGGGGUCACUCGGAGGAAGGUGGGGAUGACGUCAAAUCAUCAUGCCCCUUAUGUCUUGGGCUUCACGCAUGCUACAAGGGCCGGUACAAUGGGUUGCGAUACUGUGAGGUUGAGCUAAUCCCAAAAAGCCGGUCUCAGUUCGGAUUGGGGUCUGCAACUCGACCCCAUGAAGUCGGAGUCGCUAGUAAUCGCAGAUCAGCAACGCUGCGGUGAAUACGUUCCCGGGCCUUGUACACACCGCCCGUCAAGUCACGAAAGUUGGUAACACCCGAAGCCGAUGGCCUAACCACGUGUGUGGGGGGAGUCGUCGAAGGUUGUU